rnacentral:lncRNA from 1 species
UUAGUCUGUGUUUGCUUAUGCAAAAGGCUGCAAUUUUCGUGCAGUGUAUUUCGCAACCGUUCAAUGUGAUGUCGAAACCGUGUGUCCAGAGAACCAAAAGAAAAAUAUCAACUUAUCUAAGAGAUCAACGAUCAACGUCCCUGCUAUAGGGACAAGGAACACAUGAACAUGAGGAUGCAGUUGAUACUUAAAUAUACAGUUCACCUCUAACAUUAGGUGAACUAUAGACAGUCGCCUGGGGUGCAGUCAUGAAGAGGGUGGGGGUGGGCCCACAAAAUGGCAUUCUGUUCUUUUUUAAAAGAGAAAAACGUUAGGGACAUAGAAUGACAUUUGCAGGACACCUUUCAUUGGUUGUCUUCACUGGUUCUCGGUACAUGUGUACAGGAAAGCCUCAUCAUCCGAGGGCGUGAAUACCAAGUGGUGAAACCGUGUCACGAGAUUACAGUUUUUUCUCUUUUUGUUUACUCGCUGAGAGAACUUCCCUUUUCCUCCACCUAACCCAGCAAGUGGUCCCAUUUCACUUUGUUUGCGAAGAUUUUCUGCUCUUUAUGCUGUACUCGCUGCGGAAGGAGGUUGCUUGGUAAUCCUCAUCUUUGGAAUCGCGGCACAAACAUUUUCUGACGCAAACAAUACAUCGUCUUCGGUAUGCAUGACCUUGGUGUAUCACAUGUUUCCUCUGUCCGCUUGUUCUUCCUCGUUUUUUAUCUUUAAUUUGUUCUCGGAUUUUAUAUAUUUUUUUAAAUUUAUAUCUUUACAUUCGCGGUUUUGUAUUGCAAUGAUCAUCAGCCACUCUAGGUCCUGCGGACGACUGCACACGGGUUUACAUUUACUGAUUUGAUGUGAGAAGCGCGAAGAAAGUGAGUGCGGAUACAUGUAAUGAAUUACGCGAAGCUCAGCUUGAUAAGCACAGAGACAUAUUACGCAAGAAUACUGAAUAUAGUAGGUCACGGCCUGUGGCAGCGGGAUUCAAGCUCCACCACAUCCACUUGCUUGACAUUUUAAAUUUUGCAGGGGAUAGCGCGAACGCAGUCCCCCUUACGCAUAAAUUACGCACUCGAGUCACCCACAUUUGGGGUGAUCGCAGGGGUCAACCCGCCCGAGGUGCAAUGGACAGGCCUCGCCCUGGGAGGACCUCCUUGCUGAUCAAGGUGCCUCCCGUGCCAGGAGCCUCAGUUGAAGCAUGCGUAACCGGAGGAGGAUGUGAACAGGAUGCAGCUUGUUGCCACAGUGGCUAGAGAUGGAGGGACAAGACUCAAACAACAGAAACUGUGUGCAGCAUGCACCUUCUACUAUAGGAAAGCUUGUCGCUACAUACUCACCUCCUUAGAGACACAGUUACUGGCUCAAGGCGAACGGAAAGGAGUGAUAAUCCCUGAAGAAUUAGUCAGGCGCAGGAUGCUAAACACCGUGCUUUUCUUCCUUCCUUUCUUCUGAUGACUGCCGCUGACGAAGGACUCCGCUUGAAAAGCCCUCCCACCCUCCGCGUCGACGUGGCCUGACUUCAUUUUUGUACUUUCCUAGUCAGUCAGUAGGGUAGGGGGACGCAGGCACACCGUGACAUUUUUAUGGUUCAUGGCCAGGGCAACGACAUGUAGUCACGUGACAGACACUUAAUUUUGGUGGGGUGAGAAGUUCGAUUGGGGAGAUGAUAUAUAAGCAAUCGAAGUUAGGAGAAGAAGGGGUUAGACUUUUCCCCCUUGAGAGUUUCAGUUGGAUUACAUAUGGUCGCCAAGAGAGUGUGCUCCUUUUACUGUGCCUGAGAUCAAAUUCUUAAAGAAUUACAUGUCCUCUGCUACACUUCGGAGGGAUCAAAUUAAAAAAUAAAACAUACAAGCAUCAGCUUCAUUUUGAAAAAA